rnacentral:tRNA from 1 species
GCCCUGGUAGUUUAGUGGUUAAGAUUUGGCGCUCUCACUGCCUAGGCCCAGGAUUCACUUCCUGGUCAGGGAA